rnacentral:rRNA from 1 species
UACGUAGGGUGCAGGCGUUACUCGGAAUUACUGGGCGUAAAGCGUGCGCAGGCGGUUCGUUAUGUCCGAUGUGAAAGCCCCGAGCUUAACUUGGGAAUGGCAUUGGAAACUGGCGGGCUGGAGUGCGGCAGAGGGGGGUGGAAUUCCACGUGUAGCAGUGAAAUGCGUAGAGAUGUGGAGGAACACCGAUGGCGAAGGCAGCCCCCUGGGCCGACACUGACGCUCAGGCACGAAAGCGUGGGGAGCAAACAGG